AUAAUUGCAUAUCCAAUAAGCGGAGGAAAAGAAACCAACAGGGAUUGCCCUAGUAACGGCGAGUGAAGCGGCAACAGCUCAAAUUUGAAAGCUGGCUCCGGCCCGCAUUGUAAUUUGCAGAGGAUGCUUCUGGCAAGGUGCCUUCCGAGUUCCCUGGAACGGGACGCCAUAGAGGGUGAGAGCCCCGUAUGGAUGGACACCAAGCCUGUGUGAAGCUCCUUCAACGAGUCGAGUAGUUUGGGAAUGCUGCUCAAAAUGGGAGGUAAAUCUCUUCUAAAGCUAAAUACCGGCCAGAGACCGAUAGCGCACAAGUAGAGUGAUCGAAAGAUGAAAAGCACCUUGAAAAGGGGGUUAAACAGUACGUGAAAUUGUUGAAAGGGAAGCGCUUGUGACCAGACUUGCGCCGGGCGGCUCAUCAGGGGUUCUCCCCUGUGCACUCCGCCCGGCUCAGGCCAGCAUCGGUUCUCGUGGGGGGAUAAGAACGGUGGGAACGUGGCCCCCCUCCGGGGGGGUGUUAUAGCCCGCCGUACGAUACUCUCGCGGGGACCGAGGUUCGCGCUCCGCAAGGAUGCUGGCGUAAUGGUCAUCAGCGACCCGUCUUAACCCCGGGACAAA
rnacentral:rRNA from 1 species